AUAAUUUAUUUGACCAUUAUUAAGUGUAGUUGGUUUUUAAAAGUAACACAGUUGUCUUUGGAAAAGCAUUCGUUUGUGGUGAGACAAUAAAUUCAGUUAUUGUUUUCACUGGAUCGGAAAACAAACUAAAUUGUACUGUAAAAUUUCGGCAUUUUGUAAUAACAAAUUUGAAAAAUUUUUGCUCUUCAACCAAGUCGACAUUGAAAGUCUAUCAGCCUUCAGGGACUUUUCAGUUCGAUUCGAAAUCGUACGUAUUGAUGUUACUUGUAUUUAUUGAACAUACUCUAUUGACCAAGGAGAUGACAAUUAAAUAUGCAUAAGUGUUCUGAGUGUAGAGCAAUCCGGAGUCCAGUGCACUUAUCUAAAGGUUGUUAUAAUAUGCGACCUCGAAUCACACAAAUAGAAAAAUAAUAAGGACGCGAAAGGAUUUGUCCGCAGCUUUUGUAUUGGAACGAUUACCGCCUUAUCUUCCUUUUCGAGUUAAGCUGGUCUGGACUUGCCAAUAUUGUCAGAUACUGGUGAAUUCUAUAACCGGCAUGCGGACAAUGCACGAGUAGUUAGUCCCCGAGUGCCCAAGUGGUCCUUUUCAUGGUAAUUCAUCCGAGUCCUGACUUUGUAUCGUCGCCCCAAACAUGGUGUUUCGGUUUUGGAGUCCUCUUGCGCUGUUUCAAAAUCACGUCUGUGCAACCAAAUUGGAGUCAAUACGAAGAUAUGAACAGAGCGGACUUCGCCUCGCCCUUCGACUAGAAUUAUUAGACAGACCGGAAAGAAUUGUGAUAUGUUGAUGGGCUACAGCUGUAUUCCCAAGUUAGUGCGGCGUUGGGUCCCGUCAUUGAGCAAAUUUCUAGGGGUAUGCAAGGAUUUCUUGACAGUGGUGGCUUGACUUGGGCCGUGAUUCGGACAUAAUUGUAGUUUGGGACGCUCGAAACAUUACUGGAAUUAGAUCGAAGAAGUGGCCUGCCUGAGCGAGUUGUCUAGGCCGUAAUUAUAGAAGCGAUGGAAUCUUGAGUCUCAAGAUUUCGUCCAUUUUGUAUUAUUGGUGUCCAUUUAAUUAUAAACCAAAGAACUUCUAGGUGCAUCGAAUAACUCAAGACAUUCAGGACUUUCGACGCCUGCCUUCUCUUUGUAAUAAUUAAAAAAACAACAUUGAUCUUAUUGUAAAAAAAUUUAGUUUGUAUCAUUAUGUAUGAAUGAAUAAAUUAUUAUAAGUAUUUGUAA